rnacentral:rRNA from 1 species
AGGAACGAACGCUGGCGGCGUGCUUAAUACAUGCAAGUCAACUUGACUUUAGAUAGCAAUAUCGAAAAGUAGGGUGGCGCACGGGUGCGUAACGCGUAGGUAAUCUGCCCUGAGGUCUGACAUAACCCGUCGAAAGGCGGGCUAACAUCAGAUGAUAUAUAAUCACGACAUCGUGGAAAUAUCAAAUCUUCGGAGCCUUGGGAUGAGCCUGCGUCUGAUUAGGUAGUUGGCGGAGUAAUAGCCCACCAAGCCUACGAUCAGUAGCUGGUCUGAGAGGAUGAUCAGCCACACUGGAACUGAGACACGGUCCAGACUCCUACGGGAGGCAGCAGUAAGGAAUAUUGCUCAAUGGGGGGAAACCCUGAAGCAGCAACGCCGCGUGAAGGAUGAAAUACUUUGUAUGUAAACUUCUGUAAGAUGGGAAAAAUAUUCUCCUCGGGAGAAUUGAUUGUACCAUCAGAGUAAGCCCCGGCUAACUACGUG